rnacentral:lncRNA from 1 species
CCUAUUGUCAUCCCUAAUUCCCCCAAGGAGUAAAGGGCACGUAUUCUAUCUCCCUUUCUUGCUCUCAUCUACGGUGACCUAGAGAGCCAGAACUAAUUUUUCUUUGUCUUGCUCUCGUUUCCUCUCUAGGAGACCAGGGUCCCGGGGCCGAAUAUCUUUCUCUCUUUCGUACUUUCUUGCUCUCCUCUCUCUAGGAGAUCAUAGGACGCGGAUAAUGAAUUGUUUUUCUCUUUCUUGCUGUCUUUUAUAGGACACAGCAAAAGGAUUGUCAUGGCUCACAAAAUUCGUGGGUUGAGCCUCACCAAGCCGGCAAUCGAAUUGUGAAGUCCAGCACGGCACAAAUGGCCUACCCAGUAGACCAUGUGGGCCGUGCCUGAGCCAACACUUGGGCUCAAUUUUGUUCUGAAAUUAAAAAUGUUAAUUAUUAG